rnacentral:rRNA from 1 species
UACGUAGGUGGCAAGCGUUGUCCGGAUUUAUUGGGUUUAAAGGGUGCGUAGGCGGCUUUAUAAGUCAGUGCUGAAAUAUCCCGGCUUAACCGGGAGGGUGGCAUUGAUACUGCAGAGCUUGAGUGAAGUCGAGGUAGGCGGAAUUGACGGUGUAGCGGUGAAAUGCUUAGAUAUCGUCAAGAACACCGAUAGUGAAGACAGCUUACUAGACUUCAACUGACGCUGAGGCACGAAAGCUAGGGUAGCGAACGGG